ACUGACAACAUGCCUGAGGCAGUAAGCAAAUUUUUCAACUCUUACAAGCGUGUAAUAAUUGCAGUGGGUUUGCCUGAAAGUGGGUCUUCAAAUGAAAUUGAACUUAGGGCCUCAUUCAACCUCAGGUCAGGUGCCUGCCCAGCCACCUGACUUGAAAUCCCAGUCAGGCUCUGCUUUCUAAAAUGUCCUUGUUUAAGUACAUCAAAGAGUUAUCAGUAGGAAGGAUCAAUUUCUACAUACCAGGACAAAACACAACCAACGACCCCUUCGAAGGGUGCAGGUGGGCGGGCAGAAACGGUUUUCACGCUUCCUGUUCAAAGGCACCUUCAUGAAAAAGUGCGACACAGUGGAAGGAGAGAGCAACCGACGUUUUUGCAGAUCUCUGACGAUAGAUCUACGGUGACACCUCAAUCCUCACAUGGAAAAGAAAAACACACGGCAAAGAAAGAUGAGUUCAGCGUCAUCAUGAUAGAGGACACCUGAGUAAAGCUCUUAUUUGCUCGAAACCAAACAUCUGAUGUGUUCAGUGAUUUUUUUCAACUUGAUUUUUUGGGACAAAUCACUUGUUCAAAUUAUUUAUCAAGCAACUUCCUUCUAACUAAAGUCCUGACACACUGUAAGCUACAGUUUUAUAUUACCAGUGAUAGUGAGAAGAUGAGGAAAUGACAAUAAAGCCCUGUUAUUACUCCAAAUAAGGAAAUGUGUCAUGUGUUAUGAACUGAGCAUGAGGACAUACAGUCAGUUUUCAGUUUACACGUCUACAAAGCUAUAUAUAGCUGUAUUUCUUGGAGGUUUCUAGUAAAUUGUAUUAAGCCGACAGACGCUCCUAUCAAAUAGUCCAUAGCAUGAACAUCUCAGCAGGCUAAAUACAGAUAGAAAUCUUGAUAUACCCUAACUGUACUGCCGUGUAAAGCUUAUACUGAAGUUGCACCAUGGAUGCUUACAGCACUUAAUCAAAAAGUACAGGCAAUUUGUGUGACAUCAGGAAAUGUGAGGCGCUAAAACGGGAUCAGGCUGUCCUGGACUCCAAGUAGAACAGCAUGUUUUUUUUCUUGCUUUCUGAUUUUCUAAACGGAGGUUGAAAUAAAUCAUCUCUCUUUAUAAAAUAUCUAGGCAUAUUCAAACAGACCAUAUGUUUUUUUCUAAGCUUUAUGUGUACACAUUAAAAUUCAGUUAUUUGGAAACAAAUGAAAAACUUUCUCUCCAGUAGGAAAAUGUAAAACACCAUUUAAUGAAGAUGACGUAUCAGUAAAACAUUUCUUGCAAAAGUAUUCCUAACUUUUUUACACAAUUUUUCAUAGUACAACCAGGAGCCUUGGUGCAGUCUUGUGGAGUCUUGUGGAGAAAUGUCACAUUUUAUGGCAAACCUAUAAAAUAAGAAUCCUAAAAGAGUGGAGUGCAUUUAUAUUUAGCCAUCCUGAGUCAUCAAUUGUGUUGUAAAUUACAGAUGCAAUUAUAACUGCCAUUAUAGCUGCAGGUCUUUUGGGUAUGUUUCUAUCCGCUUUGUACAUCUACCUAAUUCAUUCGCUUGAUUCCUCUCUGAAUAGCUUCACCGUUCCUGCUGAAGAACACUGUCCCCAUAGAAUGAUGGUGCCAUUACCAUGUUUCACCAUGGGGACAGUGUUUUCAGGUUGAUGUGGGGUAUGGCAGAUAAUUAAACUUGUUCUCAUUUAACCAGAGCACCUUUGUUGUGUUCCCUAGAUGGCUUGUGGCAAACAGAAAACGGUACCUCGUAUGACUGCCGCUCAGCAAUUGAUUGUUCCUGCUACACUCCCACAAAUGCAUGACUAAUAGUUGUCCUAUCGACGGAUUUGUUUAUUCAUUAUCAAGAGCCUCUAGGCUGCUUCUCUGAUUAAUGCUCUUCUUGCCCAGCCAUGUCUUUGUAGGUUUACAGCUCUGUCAUUUUCCACUUUUUGGAUGAUGGAUUAAACAGUGCUGGGUGAGAUGUUUAAAGCUCCUUUCCUACCUAAUCUGGCGUUAACUUCUCCACAACCCCUCACCUGUCUGCUCUGUUCGUUGGUCUUUAAAAUGGGGUACAGAUUUUGUUCACUAAUGUUUUUCCAACAAAACUUCUGAGCCCUGCAACUGUUCAUUUUGUUUGGGUGUAUCAAGAUAAAUAGGGCUGAAUACAAAAAGCACACCACAUUUUUCUAAUUUUGUUUAGGUAAAAAAAUUAAAAUCAUGUGCAUGUUUUCCUUCCAUUCCACUGUUACUUGGACAUUUUGUGGUGCAUGUCAAACAAUUAAAAUGAAAUAAAGUUUGUUUUUAUAAUGUGACAAAAUGUUAAGCAGCUGUUAACUGGCUUGCAAACUUUUGUGAAGAUGUUUUGUUUUUGUCUUAAACUCAAAUGUUGAGUGUCAUCUUCAGGCAUUAAAUUGAUUGAAGAAUUUUGUAAUUUUCUAAACGAUAUAUUGUUUCAUUAAAAAAAUGCUAGAGUACUUGCUGUCAUAAAAACUAAACACAUCAUACAUCUUAGAAUAUCUUCUGUUGCAUAGUCUGAGAAAAUAGAAUGAUAGCAAACCUAUAAACCACAGCUAUAUUAGCUUUAAGUUGAGAUGAAAAAUGUGUCCCCUGCCCCCUUUAAUUUGUUUUCAACAUUUUCUCAGUUAUCUAUUUCGGAUUCUUGGAAGACAGCCAUAACAAGCUCUCUUUUCUGGGGGCAAAAGUUCAGGGAUAAAAGGAAUCGCUUGGGAGAUUACUCCCAUGUACGUAACAUGGACGCCUGGAACACAAACAAAGAGCAUUAUGCUGCUCAGCUUUAUUUCAGUCAGAGCGUGCUGCUCCUCAGACACUCUGUCCACCUUUUUAGCUUUCAUAUCACCAAAAAAAGAGAGGAGUUUAGACUCAAUUUAUUUUCUUAGCACAGAUCCUCCCGCUGCCAUGGGGUCUCCUUGUCGCUGUUUAAAUAAAACAUCUUUUUUUUCAUACAUCCACUCAGGGCAGUGUUUUUCAAUCAGAUUAGUACAGCACAUUCUGUUCUGUUUCACUUCCUGAUGACUGUGCACAGCCUCUAUCCCUGAAUGAACUUACCCUCGUGCUUCUGGUUACAGCAAGGCACUCAUUCAGACACACGUACGCUUGCAAACCGCCUGUUAGAUUUCAGGACCUUGUACAAUACUUGGCAAAUGUGUCAAGCAAUUGUAAUUUCAGUAAAGUGACAUUGCUUAUUUAUGAAGAUCUGCAAACAUAUACACAGAAAAAUAGAGUCUAAAAAGCCACAAGUAAGGCAUACAUUUAUAGUUAUAUGUUGUGUGUAAAUAAAAAAGACGCUAAUUUAAUCGGUCAUAAUUUACUUUGCCUGUGUCCUUCCAUGCUUAUGGUCUUCACUAGAUCAGAAACAAGAUCCCCUCAGUGCUCCAGGAAGGAAAAACAACAUUUCAAGCCAUGUGUUUCUUUUGAAAUCUAACCAGGCGUGACAGUCUGACUCAGGUCACAAAAGUUUAUUUGACCUCCUCUUAAAUAGUAAGACCGAGGUCAGUGCCAACAAAGCUACUGGGGCAGAGCAGGUCAAGAGUUAGGGCAGAACUCAUUUGCCUGAACUCAACUCAGCAGUUCACUGUCUUCAGAAUUUUGCUUCUAAUUAAGCGUGCGUCUAUUUUUAAUAGCUGCAAAGAGGUGAUGAUAAGUGAAGAGGUUGUGGUUGUUUUUCUAGAUCACAGGGCCAUAGCAGUUCUGUUUCUGUGCUAUUUUUUUCCUUUUUUUAACAAAAUGUUCUAAAACAAGUGAGUGUGAAAAGCUGCUUUCUUCUGUUAACCAGAUGGUCAGGAGGAUUACUCAGCUAGUUGACAACAUCCCUGUGGGUUUGCAGAAUCAGGUUGACAUGCGUUAUGUCACCUUUGUAAUUAACAGGAUCAUAAUGUUCUUCCCAACAGCUCCCUGUUGUCAGCCGGCCGUGUUGUCAACAGUGACACCUGGCUUCAAGAUUCAACAACCGGAAAUAGGCUCUAAACUGUUCGAAGUUCCCAUUUCAUACCUUUAAGGAGAAUUUCUGAUUCAUUUCUUGAUAAAGAUAUGUUCACAAAAAUGAGUCUAGGUUAGGUUAGGUUAGGUUAAACUUUAUUAAUCCCAUAAGGAAAUUAAGGUUAUCUGUUGCUCACACAUUAAUUCACAUCCACACAACAUUAAAAUCUAACCAUACUCUAUUGUCUUUUGUAAGGCAUUUAUUGUAAAAUAAAUAAAUAAAUAAAUAAAAAAAGUUAGUAUUGACACACAAACACCAGAAUCAUUAAAAACACAAAAGCAUCACAGCAUUACCAAAAGAAAAAUGUUUUAUAUUACACACAACUUUAUUUAAAAUAUCUGCUUAGUACAAGUUAUCAAAAACAUUGUUACGAGCAUUAAGUAAAACAAUAUCAAAAUUGUUUUUACUGAAACACUCUACGAGGAGAAAUAAUAAAGCUACAGAGUCUGAGUGAAAACAGUGGUUCCUCACAUUGAUUUUAAAAACAGAAAACUCUUGGAAAUUAGA